GACGGAAGGUGCAAGCGUUGCUCGGAAUCACUGGGCGUAAAGGGUGCGUAGGCGGCCGUGCAAGUCUGGCGUGAAAGCCCCGGGCUCAGCCCGGGAAGUGCGCUCGAAACUGCGCGGCUCGAGUGCCGGAGGGGAGAGUGGAAUUCCUGGUGUAGCGGUGAAAUGCGUAGAUAUCAGGAGGAAUACCGGUGGCGAAGGCAGCUCUCUGGUCGACCUCUGACGCUGAGACGCGAAAGCGUGGGGAGCGAACGGG
rnacentral:rRNA from 1 species